CCUACGGGUGGCAGCAGUGAGGAAUAUUGGUCAAUGGGCUUACGCCUGAACCAGCCAAGUCGCGUGAGGGAAGACUGCCCUAUGGGUUGUAAACCUCUUUUGUCAGGGAGCAACGCCGGCUACGUGUAGCCGGACUGAGAGUACCUGAAGAAAAAGCAUCGGCUAACUCCGUGCCAGCAGCCGCGGUAAUACGGAGGAUGCGAGCGUUAUCCGGAUUUAUUGGGUUUAAAGGGUGCGUAGGCGGAAUGCCAAGUCAGCGGUAAAAUCGCGGGGCUCAACCUCGCUCCGCCGUUGAAACUGGCGGUCUUGAGUGGGCGAGAAGUAUGCGGGAAGCGUGGUGUAGCGGUGAAAUGCAUAGAUAUCACGCAGAACUCCGAUUUCGAAGGCAGCAUACCGGCGCCCAACUGACGCUGAAGCACGAAAGCGUGGGUAUCGAACAGGAUUAGAUACCCGAGUAGUC
rnacentral:rRNA from 1 species